rnacentral:rRNA from 1 species
GACGAACCGUGCAAACGUUGUUCGGAAUCACUGGGCUUAAAGGGCGCGUAGGCGGCUUGCCAAGUCAGGGGUGAAAUCUUUCGGCUUAACCGGAAAAGUGCCUCUGAUACUGGCGAGCUAGAGGGAGGUAGGGGCAUGUGGAACUUCCGGUGGAGCGGUGAAAUGCGUUGAUAUCGGAAGGAACGCCGGUGGCGAAAGCGACGUGCUGGGCCGACACUGACACUGAGAGACGAAAGCUAGGGGAGCGAAUGGG